rnacentral:rRNA from 1 species
AGCGAACGCUGGCGGCAGGCUUAACACAUGCAAGUCGAACGGACCCUUCGGGGUUAGUGGCGGACGGGUGAGUAACACGUGGGAAUGUGCCCUUAGGUUCGGAACAACACAGGGAAACUUGUGCUAAUACCGGAUGUGCCCUUCGGGGGAAGGAUUUAUUGCCUUUGGAGCAGCCCGCGUCUGAUUAGCUUGUUGGUGAGGUAAAGGCUCACCAAGGCUACGAUCUGUAACCGGUCUAAGAGGACGGCGGUCACACUGACACUGAAUAACGGGUCAGACUCCUACGGGAGGUAGCAGUCGGGAAUUUUGGGCAAUGGGCGAAAGCCUGACCCAGCAACGCCGCGUGAAGGAUGAAGUAUUCGGUAUGUAAACUUCGAAAGAAUGGGAAGAAUAAAUGACGGUACCAUUUAUAAGGUCCGGCUAACUACGUGCCAGCAG